rnacentral:ncRNA from 1 species
AUAAUUUAAAUAGUGUUGUUAAUUAGGUAAUUAGGUAGGUAUUAUUUGUAUAAAUUAUAAAAUAAUUUGGCUUUAGUUAUUAUAUAAAUUAUUAUUAGGUUUAUAUAUGUUGGAUUUAAUGUAGAACGUCUUAUCUUUGGUAUUAAUAAUUGUAUUGUUUAAUAUAACAUGAUUUUUAAUAUAAAUUAUUAAUUUAUAAUUUUAUAAUUUUGAAAGAUUACGCAGUAUUUACUAUUAUACAAUAAAUGAAAGUUUGAUAUGGUUAAUGUAAAUAAGAGUGGAGAAAUUUGUGCCAGCAUCCGCGGUUAUACAAAUACUCUAAAUUUAUAUAUGUAUAGUAUAAAAUAAAGUAUAAUAUAUUAUGAUUAGAAUAAUAUUGAGAAUAAUAAUUGUAGGUAAAAUUUAAAUAUUAUUGUUAUUAAUUUAAUUUUUCUAGUAUUAAAUCUUUGAAAAUAUGUUAAAUAAAACUAGGAUUAGAUACCCUACUAUUCAUUAAUUUAAAUUUUUUUUUAUUUAAGUAGUGUGAUAUUAUUAUUAUAAAUAAUUUUAUUUAAACUUAAAAAGCUUGGCGGUGUUAUAUACCCAUUUAGGGGAGCUUGUUUAUUAAUUUGAUAAUCCUCAAUUAACACUUACUUUUUUUUGAAACAUCAGUUUGUAUAUUGCUGUCGACAGUUUAUUUCGUAAGAUUAUAAAAAACUUAAAAGUUUUGUUGCUUGUAAGUCAAGUCAAAAUGCAGCUAAUAAAAAAGGUUAAAAUGAGCUACAAUUUAUAAUUUCUAAUUGGAUUGAAUAAUGUAAAAUUUUUAUGAAUUUGGACUUAAUAGUAAUGUAAUAUUAGUUUGUAUACAUGAAGUUGGUUUUAUAACGCGUACAUAUCGCCCGUCGCUCUUGUUGGUAAAAUAAGAUAAGUCGUAACAUAGUAGGGGUAGUGGAAACUGUUCCUGGUAUUAA